ensembl:lncRNA
GUGAUGUCACCUUGGCGCUGAGAGGAAGUGCAGACGACGCAUGUAGUUUGACUGACGAACGGCGGAAAAAUAAAUAUGGAAAACGUGGAGGAGUUAAGGAGAGUGUUCAACAAGAACUUUUAGCAAUUGCUCAGUAUGUGGAAGAAAAUGUUCAGCCGGACUACAUUCUGAGGAUGGUAGAAGAUGUCAGCAAAAGUCAUGGGCAAAUAUCUGCUCUGACCGAUACAGACAUUGAUCCGGUUGUGUGGCACACUCUUGAAGAGGUACGCAUGCAACUAAGUCUUGCAGCCAGGCCAUCAGACCUGGGCGACGUCCACUGGAAGUCCAGGUGGACAUAAUGGAGUCCUACAUUCUUGCAGGAUUAUCAGCUGUCAAAAUAGCUGAACUGUUUGGAGUGUCAGUUAGAACCAUAAGAAGGAGAAUGGCAUCCCAUGGCUUGAGAUGCCGAAUCGUGAUCCAUGCAGGAGUGGAUGGAUUUAGCAGGCUCAUAGUUUAUAUAGGAGCAGCUACAAACAACAAAUCCACCACUGUUCUGGACAGUUUCAGGUCAGCUGUUGCUCAGUAUGGCUUACCAUCUCGUGUAAGAUCUGAUAAGGGUGGGGAAAAUGUUGCUGUGGCCCAUUACAUGAAUUGAAAGAUUAUGGAGAGACGUGUAUGGAAAUGUCCUCGACUUGUUCCAUACACUAUUUCUCAAUUUGGAAUUGGAAGGGUUUCUAAACCCUGACAAUGAACUGGAGUUAUUCGCUCUCCACUGGAUCUACGUCCCACAGCUGCAGCAGCAUCUUCAGGCAUUCAAGGAAGCCUGGAAUCACCAUAGUUUGAGGACAGAGAGAGGGCAAUCCCCCAUGCAACUGUGGCUUAGUCAGCCACGGGAGGGAAAUGCUGCUGAUCCAGUUGAGGUUGCUGCUGAUUAUGGAAUAGACUGGACAGGACCUCACACCCCAUACCCAGAGGGUGUCACUGUACCUGAUGCACAACUACCCCAGCAGCUUACCCAAGCUGAAGUUACGUCAUUGUCUGAUCCGGCAGUCCCUUUUUCUGCUGCACUACGGGCGUACAUGGAUACAGUGUAUAUUCUUAAGGACAUUUUUCAACAAACCUAGGCCUAUCACAACUCACCUUAACAUGAUCAGAAUGAAACCGUUUGAAAUGGUCGAACAAGACUUGAAAGAAUGCUGCAAAUUUUUGGUGCAUAAUUUUAUGACCAGUUGUGAAUUUCAAAUAAAUGCCUGUGAAAACAAAAAUGUAAAAAAACAAGACACAACAAAGGGAUACAAAACUGCUUUUAUUGCAUGCUGAAUAAUUUGACAGCUUUUAAAAGCAUUAAAACAAUGUGCAAAUAAAAAUUUUUUUUAAUAGAACUGAUAAUUCUUUUCUUUAACUUCCACACAUUUAUAUUACAACUGUUUCCCAAACACAGUCUUCUCCAAGUGUGGAAACAUUUUGUUGUCACAGUUCAGAAAUGCACAAACCUGAACCAUAGUU